CUUAUAAAAAAUGCCGUAAAAUACAAGUGGACGAUACGUGUCCGAUAUUUUGCAGUGUAGAAUCACCAAAAAAGGUUUGGUCCAAAUCCGUGACACACCAACCUAGUCGCCCCUUUGUAAGACCCAACAUUGAAUAAGGCGAAAUGCCAUGAGACCACAUAAGUUAGGAUAGACAGACUAAAAUGAACGGUAACCUCCAAAUUCCUCAAAAAUGUUCCAAAAAUCUGAUUCGUUCCAGGGUCUACAUCAAGUGUAUUGUUAUUAUUCUUGCCGAUCUUGCUAUCACAGCGGAAUUUAAGAAAUACACAAAAUGUCAAUUUGCGGAGGAGGUGAAAAAUCACAACGCCAGAAAAAGUAUCGGAUUGGGUUUGCAUAGCAGAAGAUGCAAGUGGAUUUGACUCCGACUACAAAGCGAAUCUUGAAAUAUUAUCCUUAACACAUUACUACGGCCUUUUCGGGGUAUCUGACUAUAUGUGCGGUCUGUGGAACUUCUGCCGAAUGGAUUGCUC